rnacentral:misc_RNA from 1 species
GAUGAAGAACGUAGCGAAAUGCGAUAAGUAGUGUGAAUUGCAGAAUUCAGUGAAUCAUCGAAUCUUUGAACGCACAUUGCGCCCCUUGGUAUCCCGAGGGGCAUGCCUGUUCGAGCGUCAUUUCACCACUCAAGCCUGGCUUGGUGUUGGGCGACGUCCUCUUUGGGGACGCGCCUCGAAACGCUCGGCGGCGUGGCACCGGCUUUAAGCGUAGCAGAAUCUUUCGCUUUGGAAGUCGGGGCCCCGUCUGCCGGAAGACCUGCUCGCAAGGUUGACCUCGGAUCAGGCAGGGAUACGCGCUGAACUUAAGCAUAUCAAUAAGCGGAGGA